rnacentral:rRNA from 1 species
UACAGAGGGGGCAAGCGUUGUUCGGAAUUACUGGGCGUAAAGGGCGCGUAGGCGGCCUGCUAAGUCGAACGUGAAAUCCCUGGGCUCAACCCAGGAACUGCGUCCGAUACUGGUUGGCUUGAAUCCGGGAGAGGGACGUGGAAUUCCAGGUGUAGCGGUGAAAUGCGUAGAUAUCUGGAGGAACACCGGUGGCGAAGGCGACGUCCUGGACCGGUAUUGACGCUGAGGCGCGAAAGCUAGGGGAGCAAACGGG